GAUGAACUGAGAUGAGGUUUGGGGUUGGUAGUUAACAGACAGGAUGAACUGAGAUGAGGUUUGGGGUUGGUAGUUAACAGACUGGAUGAACUGAGAUGAGGUUGGUAGUUAACAGACAGGAUGAACUGAGAUGAGGUUUGGGGUUGGUAGUUAACAGACUGGAUGAACUGACAUGAGGUUUGGGGUUGGUAGUUAACAGACUGGAUGACCUGACAUGAGGUUUGGGGUUGGUAGUUAACAGACUGGAUGAACUGAGAUGAGGUUGGUAGUUAACAGACAGGAUGAACUGACAUGAGGUUUGGGGUUGGUAGUUAACACAGUAAUAUAGUAGUUUUAAAGACACCGCUGCCCCACAUCCUCACAGAAAAUAUAUGAAGCCCGCACAGACAGUAAACUCUUUAGAAC
ensembl:lncRNA